rfam:Triticum aestivum genome assembly, contig: Triticum_aestivum_CS42_TGACv1_scaffold_513492_6BS
GUCCUUUUAGGUUCUGACUGGUAGAACAGAGGACUGAAAAUCCUUUUUAGUUUCACACAUGGGACUCUAAAUCCCAAUUGCGCUAGCUCUAUGGUUCGAUUCCACAACAGAACA